CACCCCAUCAGGACCAAAUAGAAUUGAAACUUCAUUGCCUUUGCCUGUACUGAGCCUAAAAACUCAGGGUUUGAUAAGGUUACUGCACCAGUGAUACAAUUGUAGAUUUUUAAAAGCCUCCUCAAAGAGACAGAUGUUUGGGCUGAUUAAGAAUUGAGGAGGAAACCUGCAGCUGCACCAAGGAAUAAUCUAUUGGACAAAUAUUUUAAUAAAAAAAUAUGAAGAGAUCAGCCCGACCUUGCAAGGUCUUCUGCUUUAAAAAAAUCUUUAUCAAACCCCUAUUCUAUGGCUUCAAUAAACAGAACCCAUUACCUCACGGCAUCUUUUGUUGGCCCCAUACAAGAGAGAACAAAAUGGUUAUUCAGGGGAACGCUUUCGAUUUUUAUUGUGGGUAGCCUGCACAAAGAGCCGUGUUAUUGUAUUUAAAAGAACCAUCUGUAGCAGAAACAAUGGCAUCAAAUUAUCUUUGAAUACCCACUGAAAAAAACAUAAAGCUUUUUUUUUUAUUCUUCUUCUGUACGGUGGGGGGAUAGAGCAGUGUUAGGAUAACUGACUUUUUUGUUGUUCUCUGGGUGCAUUCUUCUCGCUCCCCCUCUCUCCCCCUCACCCUCUCUCUCUUCUCUCUCUCCCUCUCCCUCUCUCUCUCUCUCUCUCUUUUAAAAAAUCAGCCAUUUGGGGUUUUAAGCCAUAAACGAUUUUUCUUGUUGCAGGGGAUUGCAGUGGCAAAGCUAGGCUAGGUCUUGGAAGCUGGUGUAAGGCGAUGCGGGUGAAGGCAGGAGGCUGAUGGAAAGACUGGGGGGAAGAAAAGCCGAAAUGGAUUCACGGUGCCUUGGAUGAAGGACGAGAGGGGAACUGCAAGCUCCUUCAACUGGUUCUGUCCGGUGAGAAGUGAUCAAGCUUGGGCUGACAAGAGGCUCAGGGAACCCUCACGUUCUUUCGCUUUUUUACCUGCCAAUCAAACUGCUACAAGACAACACCCUGAUCUGGCAUGGACAUCGCGGGUCCAAGCCUGUAGCCCCAAAUCGGAUAAUCUCUGCAGCUGAUAACAAGCAAAAGAGAAGCCAGGCAACAGCCAUAUUAAAGAAGAAAACAAUCAACUCUGAGAUCCAACUUAGAAAUAAUGUUUCAUUCAAGAUAAGGCUCGUGGUUUAGGAGAUUGUGACCUGGCUUGCAUCAUUCUAAGACUUCUAUCAUCGGUUUUCAAAACCCAAGGAGGACCUCAUUCUCUGUGUGAUAGUUCCUCAUGCUUUGCCAGCCACUGGGUCUUUAAGGAAGCUUGCCAAGAGUUCCCAGCUGGGAAGGACAGUUCGAGUUCAUCAUAGACAGUGAGCUGGCACCACAGUUUAAGUGACUCACCAACCUGGUUGUCCACUUCAAAAUGUCAAGAACCACACUAUCUAAUUGAAAGAACUGUGUUUUAGCAAAGUGUAAUUGGAUCGCAUGGCAAGAUCAUCUCAAACUAUGUCUCUGACCUUGCCUUUCAGUGGCUGUUUGGAGCACAAGAGGAGAAAGGAAAUGAUUCCUGAAUUACAUAUUGCUUUUAAAAAUUAAGAUUAAUUAGUGGCCGGGCGCGGUG